UGUUCCCCAGUGAGGGCUUCUGGGGUGCGGGAACACAGAAUCGUGACGGAUUGCCCUAAUUCUUGUCAAGAUCAUUCCAGAUUGGGAGAGGAAGCCACAGUGAACAAACAACUUACAGUGGACGCUCUAUCAACAGGUCACAACUGAGGAAAAGGGGCUGAGGGAACUCAAAAAAUACUGCAACUGGCAACAGAGACCACCAUCAAGGGAUAAAAUUACUUCAGCACCUACACACAAAACGCAGAGCAGCUGGAGAAAGGGGCAUGGGAAAAAAAGGCUGCUCAAGAGCAAACCUGAAGACCCUGUUUAUUAGCCAUUUCUCUCCCUGCAAGUGACUGGCAAUCCAUUUUGACUGAACUUGGGAUUCUGAGAUGCUCCGAAUGCCCUCUCUGGUGUUUUUACAGUUGAGGGGAGAAGAGGGUCUGUUCUCCAGGUAAUCUAACACCUCAAGGCUCUGGAUGAUGCAUUAUGCAUGGUUCAUGCAAGACACUGCAGAAAUCCAAUCAGGAGAUGCACACAAGAAAAAACCUUGGCCCUACAUCAAAACAGUAGCAACAAAUGUGUAAGUUCAAAGUUAGAAUAAUGGGUUUCAAGUGGUACAUGUCACCUGUUAUGAUUCUACAUUUUAAAUGACUUUUUGGAUUAUCCAACUAAUAGUCCAAACCAGGUUGAGAGAGAGUUUCUACAAUUAAAACAGCUGCCAUUUUCUGAAGGCCAAACCCUGUUUCAGGUGCUUUACAAGCACCAGCA
rnacentral:lncRNA from 1 species